rnacentral:tmRNA from 1 species
UCACUUCCCAUUCACCCAAAACCGACUAUAUAAGCCGUGUUCGCUUCGGCGGACUAUGGCGAUAAAUUGCGGCGUGCAAUAGACGCAGCGGACCCGGGGGCGGUACCCGGCAGCUCCACCAUAACCCCUGAAGUUCAGGGGAUUUUGACGGGGCUGAACUAGGAUCGACGUGUGUUGAAAAGCGCUGUUUUUGCCCGGCAUGAAUAAGCCGUGAAAUGGUUCAAAACUCAUAAGUGCCAACGAUAACGAAGCACUUGCUCUCGCAGCAUAAUUCCGGGCCUCACGGUCUAGAAUUAUUCUAAAAGAACGCGGCCGAGCCGGCCGGGCAACAGAAAGGUCACAGC